CCUACGGGAGGCAGCAGUGAGGAAUAUUGGUCAAUGGGCGCAAGCCUGAACCAGCCAAGUCGCGUGAGGGAUGACGGUCCUAUGGAUUGUAAACCUCUUUUGUCGGGGAGCAAGGCCGGCCACGGGUGGCGGGAAGGAGAUAACUGGAGGAAAAAGAUCGGCCUAAUCCGGUGCCAGCACCCCGGGUAAAACGGAGGUUGAGACCGUUAUCGGGUUUUUUUGGGUUUAAAGGUUGCGUAGGCGGCAGGUAAAGUCAGCGGUAAAAUGUCGGGGCUAAACACCGGCCUGCCGUUGAAACUGGUCUGCUUGAGUGGGCGAGAGGUAUGCGGAAGUCGUGGUGUAGCGGUGAAAUGCAUAGAUAUCACGCAGAACUCCGAUUGCGAAGGCAGCAUACCGGCUCUACACUGACGCUGAGGCACGAAAGCGUGGGUAUCGAACAGGAUUAGAUACCCUAGUAGUC
rnacentral:rRNA from 1 species